CGUUUGAAAUGUAAACAGAAUAAUUUUAAUUUUAACAAUUUCAAUUAUGAUUAUGUUUGUUAAUUUUAAUAGAUUGUUAAUAGUUAUUUAUUGCUAUUGGUGUAAUUUACACUUUUUAAUAUAUGUAUUGCCUUCUAAUCCAACAUUCUUUGCAACUUUUGCUUCAUAACCGCAAAUUCGAGAUUCGUUGGUGUUAUGCUCUUGUGCAAACAAAUCCAUUUUCGUGCAACCAGACGUAUGAGCAACAUUUAUGCUGCCACGAAUCGUUCAAAGUAUGCGAAAUAAAUUCAGCUCACGAUCACUAUAGUGAUAUAUCAACUACCAUAAAUAGACUAUAGCCUUGAGUAGGCGUUUGUGGGAAUUAAGAGAUUACAUAUUCACCUAAUUUAGAAGCAGUUAAGCGGAAAAUAACGUUUAACGCUUAAUACGUCUAUUUCGGGCUUGUUUACAAAAUUGUUAGCACUUUGGAAUUUGCCGCUCCAUUCGCAAAUAACAGGCAUGUACAUACAUACAUACUUACAUGCAUUCAAACAGUUUCUGACAUUUCUCAAUAUUUAUUUAUUUACUUGUGUUUUAUAGCUAAAAUUCAAUUAAAGUUGACGCUAUGAUUGCAUUUAUAUUGCAUUUAAACGAAUUUUUUCACUAUUUUGGUUAAUCUCAUUAAGAAUUCAAUGCUUUGAAAAUGCGCUGAUAUAGAAAAAUCGAAUGCAACAUACAUUUGAAAAUAAUUAAGGGAGAAUGAAGAGAUGCAAAACCCAGUCUUUGAGCUGAAUCCAUCUUCGCAGACACAAAUUCCCGCUGCAACUAAAUUUUCAACUCUGCUCUAUCCAGUCAAUUAUUAAAAAUGUCACUGCGGAAAUGACCAAAGCUCGUUUAAACGCGUUCCAAAUUUCCAAAGACAUUUCCCAGCAGAUUGCCAUAGUAACAAGCAUUUGUUUUGGCUUGCAACUAAAUUAUUGUUUUUAUUUGUGCGCAAGGGAAAAACUACGGAUUUAGUGCUAACAAAACAAGUAGAGAGUGAUGAAAUGUAAAAAAGUAUUAAAUAAACGAAAAAUUGUGGACUUUCCAAAUACACGAACACACACACGCCCACGCAAUAAUCGACUAGGACACAAUUACGGAAAUUAUUUGAAUAAAAAAAAAAUAAAAUAAAAAUAAAAAAGAAAACAUAAAAAGUGCCAACAGUGCCUGAGUCAUACAUUUUAUUGACUACAUUAGCAACAUCAAUCGCAUGGCCAGUGCGGACGAGAUUAUAUGCAAUGGGCACGUAAUAACGUUGCCCACGCUGGAGGUCGUCAAAGCGGUUCCCAUCAUGGCGGCUGGUACAAACAUCGAUUGGUUGCUACAUCUCUAUUAUGCGCGGCGUGAUUUUAUACGUUGUCGCAUUAUAAUCGAGCGUGAGCUGCGUAGUAGUCUCAAUCCGGAGUAUAUGUAUUUUGUGAAGGGUUUAAUUGACCGUGAAGAGGGUAACAACAUUGAAGCGCUACGAAAUUUACAAAAGGCACUCGACUUAAAUUCCAAGAAUAUUGAGAUCUACAAAGAGAUUGGGAAAACCCUCUUCAUUAUGGGUCGUUUCAAUCAGGCUUUGGAUAUUUUUCGCGAAGCGGAAGAACUCUCGCCACGACAGGAUCAUGAAAUUUGUCAUUUCAUUGGUGAAUUAUUGCAUCGCUCGGCGGCCGCUGCCAAUCAAUUAGCAAUUGCACGUAAAGAGGAGGCCGAGGCGAAGUUUUACUUUGAAAAAGCCGUGCAGGCGGGCAAAAAGUUGGAGAGUUUCCAGCGGCUGGCGGAAAUACUGCGCAAGGAAAAGGACUAUGCAAAGGCCAUUGAGGUGCUCGAGAACUGUCUGCUUUUAUCACCCGAAAACACUGAAGUGCUCACCGAGAUCGGUGUGCUUUAUUUGAAAAUCAACGAUACUCAGAAUGCUUUCGACCGCUUAUCGGAAGUCAUCGCUUUGGAUAGGAAGUCGCCAAAAGGAUUGUUGGCGUAUGGUGCCAUAUUGCAGUCACGCAAUGAUGUCGACGGCGCUUUGGAGAAAUAUCAAGAAAUUGCCAUGACAGAACCGGACAUACCCGAAUUGUGGAAUAACAUUGGAUUGUGCUUUUUCAAGAAGAAGCAACAAAAAGUGAUUGCGGCGAUUUCUUCACUGCGCAAAUCAAUUUGGCUUUCACCGCUUAAUUAUAAUGCUCUCUACAAUUUGAGUUUAGUUUAUAUAACAGCACAACAAUAUGCGAGCGCCUUUCACACACUCGCCGCGGCCAUCAACUUGCGCAAGGACAGCGCUGAAUGCUACAUGCUACUCGGAAUCUGUUUGCGUAAGUUGGAGGAUACAGAGAAUGCAUUCAAGGCAUUUCAGCGUUCGAGUGAUAUACAACAACAACAGCAGCAACAACAGGAUGCCGGACGUAAUCCACUUGUACAUUUGAACUUUGCACUCUUUUGUUAUGAGACCGGACGCGUUGCGCUCGCCACGGAGCAAUUUACACGCUUUGUUAGCUCGUCGCAAGAUCUCCUGCUGCCGACCGAAUCCUUGCAGCGUUUGCAGCAUUUAAAGCAGUUAAGGUGAUCCUCCACACCGGAGUCAAACACACGUCGUGGUGACCCGCGUCAGUCGGGUCAUUUCCAUACUGCCGAAAUUCUUCUUGAAGAACAACGAUUUGAAUGUGGUGCGAAAUUGUUUCGACAUCAGACCGUAGAGCACAAAUCCGACGGCGGCAUUAAUGAGCGCCAACAGAUCCAUCAUCUCACCGAAUGGUGGAUAGCAAACGAAGAAGAAACAUUUCGCCAACACGCCAGAGAGUAGACCCAAUAUGCCUUGUGGAAAUUCAGUGACCAGGAAGAGUAUGAGUACGGCAACCAGUAGCAUGGUGGUGCGAUCGGUGCGACGAUCACAUUUUGGUGGACUGUGCGGAUGGAAAAAUAAAGUGUAAAUUAAUGUGAGUAUUAUUGAUUUUUUUUUUUAAUUUUAAUCGUAUAUUAGUUAUUAAAUAGUAUUUGUUUAGAAAAUAUUAAUUUAAGGGGUUACAUGGGUUUUGUCGCGUAAAAAAUGACCUAUUUUCAAUAUUUUUUUCUGUGUAAAAAAUUAUUUAUUUAAUUCAAACUUUUUUCUGUCUUAUAAGAUACAUAUUUAAAGAAUAAUUUCUGAAAUUAAAAAAAAAAUAAAAAUAAAACUCCUCCAUUGCGACGUAGUUUCCGGUGAACCCCCGGGAAAAAGGUGCGUCCACGUUGUCAGCAUAACUUCUGACAGGAUCAUCCAAAAUGAAAAAAACAGAAAUAAAUGUUUUAGUUAAGACCAUAAACUCGUGCUUGAAUGAAGGCUUGACAAAAAAAGUAAAAAUUGGAAUUUUGGCAGACAUUUUUUCGAAAAAAAUAAAAAUUUUGUUAAAAUUUGCUUGACAAAAAGUAAAAUCCUUCGUUCAAGCACGAGUAAAUUGUAUCUCGAACACCUGUGCAAAAUUUCAUCAAUAUCGGUUAAGUAGUUUUCUAGGAACUUUGACAACCGACUUUGCAAACACGGUUCCGAGAAAAACCCGUUUAAAGCUUUGAGUAACAAUAAUACCUGACUUGGAGUGCACACCUUCCAAAGGCUGUAUCUCCGAAACUAUUAUUCGGAUCGACUUGAGAUGUAGUAAAAAAUAAUAAGCCAAAAAACAAAAAAUCAAUUUUUUGAAUCCACGAAACUCAGGUAACCCCUUAAUGAGGAACAUUAGAAUUUUAUGCAUUUCGUAGUAUUUUCAGUAGUUCCAAUAAUCAGUAUUUGUAACAAUUUCCAUUGCUAAUGGAUCCAACUGUCAUUGCCGUAACAAAAAAAGACUGUACCGAAUAUUUAGAACUUUUCCCAAAUUUAGACAACAUCAAACAUUGUGCUAUAAAUUUGGAAAAAAAAUAGUUCUGAAAUUUAAUAGUGAAGCCACAACACUAUUAAUUAUUACUUUUAUCGGCAGUUGGCAAAACUUUGCUGUUUUACAUUCUAUUUAAACCCCUGGUCAGUGGUAACACAUUAGGAAGUUUUUGGCGGGAGAUACAGAAAAGGAACUUGGGCUCAGUUCAAAAGACGAAAAUUGUCAGAACCCAGACAUUAUAAUAUAUGUCUAAUCUGUAACAGUAACUUGAUCCCAAAUUAACAAAUAAUGAAGUUUGACUUUAGAAACCUCAUUUGCGGGAUGUUUUGAUAUGUUCUUUGUGGAAACAUUUCUGACUUAAUUCUUUCAAUCGUCUAUUCUGUAUAUCGACGGGGAUGAUUUAGGCGCCGAAAUAAUUCACAAUUCUUUUGAUUUUUUUUCUAAUAUUCUGUGAAUUUCCUGCAAAAAGAUUUUUCUAGAUUCAAUAACUGACAUAAAAUAUUACACUUAAAUGUCAGCAGUUGUUGCAAGUAAUGCCAAUUUACUGUAUCUAAGCUUUUCCCAUAAAUUUAAGAAAGUCAUACAACCUUUCUGUGCAACAUGGCAACGUUGUUGAUGCCUGCGUAUUGCCAAAUGCGUAUUGCAAAAUAGUCCUCUUCAAUACACAUGGAAUAAUACCCUCGUUCAGUGUAACACAUUGCUUUCAUUGCAUAGUAAUUCCAAAGAGAUAUUGCAAAGCAUUGUAGUAGCAUAACAAUUCCAUUGAAAGGCAAUACUAAUUGCAGUUGCAACAGAUUUUUUGAUUCUCAGUUUCUUCGAAAUUUAUACAACGUAAAUUUGACGGGCCCAUAUGUAUCAUUUUGCAUAUUCUAUCAUGAAUUCCCUAGCAGUGCUACCGAGAAAUUUAUUUUCUGGGAAUUUCACAAUAGCUAUUUAAACCAACCCGAAUGGUGAUUGGUCAGCUUGGCAUACAAUUGACUAAAAGCACCGAGAAUUAUUAAAUGCGAAUCAAGAAUGCAAUUUUAAUGUUUUCAUGAAUGUGGCAUAUUCUUGUUUACUUUGAGUAAAAACAUGCAAAAACGUUAACUUCGGCUGUACCGAAGCUAAUAUACCCUUCACAGGUGCAUUUCUUUUAGUAACUAUGUAUGUGUUUCAGCAAAUCUAAAGACGUAAGAAAAAUUAAGUAAAAAAAAGAAAACAUUUUACUAAUUCUUUUUAGCCGGGUUGCUUGCUAGAAACAUUAAGGUUAUUUAAUAAAGAAAAUAGAUCCGUGUCAUGUAAUCCAUGUCAAAUUUCGUGAAGAUACCACGUCAAAUGCGAAAAUUUUCCAUACAAGCCCUUGAUUCCGAUCGUGCAGUUUGUAUGGCAGCUAUAUGCUACAGUGAACCGAUCUGAAGAAUUUUUUCGGAGAUUAAAUUAUUUCUAUGAGCAAUACCUCACACCAAAUUUCGUGAAGAUAUGUAGUGAAAUGCGGAAGUUUCCCAUACAAGCUUUUGAUUCUGAUCGUUCAGUUUGUAUGGCAGCUAUAUGCUACAGUGAACCGAUCUGAACAAUUUUUUCUGAGAUUAAAUUAUUUCUAUGAACAAUAACUCACACCAACUUUCGUGAAGAUAUGUAGUAAAAUGCGAAAGUUUUCCAUACAAGCCCUUGAUUAUGAUCGUUCGGUUUGUAUGGCAGCUAUAUGCUACAGUGAACCGAUCUGAACAUUUUUUUCGAAGAUUAAAUUAUUUCUAUAAACAAUAACUCACACCAAAUUUCGUGAAGAUAUGUAGUAAAAUGCGGAAGUUUUCCAUACAAGCCUUUGAUCUUUCUGAUCGUUCAGUUUGUAUGGCAGCUAUAUGCUACAGUGAACCGAUCUGAACAAUUUUUUCGGAGAUUAAAUUUUUUCUAUGAGCAAUACACCAAAUUUCUUGAAGGUAUGUAGUAAAAUGCGGAAGUUUUCCAUACAAGCCCUUGAUUCCGAUCGUUCAGUUUGUAUGGCAGCUAUAUGCUACAGUGAACCGAUAUGAACAAUUUUUUCGGAGAUUAAAUUAUUUCCAAAUUUCGUGAAGAUAUGUAGUAAAAUGAGGAUGUUUUCCAUACAAGCCCUUGAUUCCGAUCGUUCAGUUUGUAUGGCAGCUAUAUGAUAUAGUGGACCGAUAUCGGCAGUUCCGACAAAUGAGCAGCUUCUUGAAGAGAAAAUAACAUCUGCAAAAUUUCAAAACGAUAUCUUAAAAGCUGAAGGACUAGUUCGUAUAUAUACAGACAGACGGACAUGGCUAAAUCGACUCAGUUCAACAUUUUGAUCAUUUAUAUAUAUACUUUAUAAGGCCUCCGACGCUUCCUUCUGGGUGUUACAAACUUCGUGACAAACUAAAUAUAUCUUGUUCAGGGUAUAAAAAACUCUUUAGAAUGACGAUUGCUAGUUUUUUUUAUCACUCUUUAUCAUUAUGCUAUAUUAUACUAAUAUAUCAUUGAUAUUAAAAAAAUAAGAAAUUGUGAUAAUAAUAAUUUUAUUUAUUGCUAUUUUUCGAUACAAAAAUAUUACUCAUACGCACCGUUGUGAGUGUCGUUGCUCCGUCAAAGGUACAUCACCAGCGCAACUGGCACCUCCAUUGGCGCUGCCGGUUUUAGUGGGAUUAUUAUACUCCUUCAGUUUUUGCUUUCGCUUUGAUGCCUCGCAUAGUACUCGCACCAAUAUGAAGCUGAUAACGAAUUCUAAAAUACAAAAAACAAAAGUCACUAGAAAAAAUAUUUUCAAAUUCAGAGCUUUUAGGUAUUCAAUGGAUAUUAAAUUAGACUAAGAAGAUUUAUAAGACGGCAAUAUACACUAAAUAGUAAGCAUCUAUUUUAUUUCAUCAUGGCGAGCACAGUAAGUAACAGAGAAAUAAAGCGAACGCACACAAUAAAUUCAACAAAUCAAAUAAAUUAAAAAUAUGUGUCACCCUGUGCGCUAAAACUAUUACAACAACAAUCAAACAACCAUAAUUUCCAUAGCAAAGUGCAUCGCUUGCUACCAGGCGCCCAGAACAACGCAGUAGGCAACGCAUUACCACUGAAAAUACCAGCUGUUCUGCCAUAAGUAGACUUCCAACAACAAAAAUGGGUUCCACAAUCGCAUUCUUUCGCAUAACAACAAACAUUAGCAUCAAAUAUCAAAUCGUUCCUAUGCCUAAGCCAGACUGAUGCAUAUCAUUGUACAUGUAUUUUGUUAUUGUAAAUUUAAUCAAGUAAGUUCGCUUGCUGUGAUCCACCUACUUGCUGCUUAUGUUCGCCAGGUACAUUGCAUUGAAUUCUUAUGGGGAAAAUAAAUGAAGCGACUGCGAUCGCAUUAUAAAAACAAA